rnacentral:lncRNA from 1 species
GGAUAAUCAAAAUCUAUGAUGAAUAUGUAACAAAACACUUAAAUUAGUACGGGUCAUUGAAAUCAUUCAUAGAGGGACAGAUACUUUUUCUUUCAACAGAAGCCUAGGUGAAGAUAAAAUGGUGAAUAGUGAUGCUUACGCCCUUUCAGCAUAAAAUGACAAUUUUUGUCUAGCUGUAGAACAAAAAUUUGAAUAUCAAGUGACAUUGUCGGACGAGAAAGUGCUUUUCUAUGGUGUAAUGAUAAUCUUGAUGUGCUAUGUCAUAAGGUAAGAAGGGAA